rnacentral:rRNA from 1 species
UACGUAGGCAGCAAGCGUUGUUCGGAGUUACUGGGCGUAAAGGGUGUGUAGGCGGUUGUUUAAGUUUGGUGUGAAAUCUCCCGGCUCAACUGGGAGGGUGCGCCGAAUACUGAAUGACUAGAGUGCGGGGAGAGGAAAGUGGAAUUCCUGGUGGUAGCGGUGAAAUGCGUAGAUAUCAGGAGGAACACCGGUGGUGUAGACGGCUUUCUGGACCGUAACUGACGCUGAGACACGAAAGCGUGGGUAGCAAACAGG